CUUACCUACGGGACGCAGCAGUGGGGAAUAUUGCACAAUGGGGGAAACCCUGAUGCAGCGACGCCGCGUGAGUGAGGAAGUAUUUCGGUAUGUAAAGCUCUAUCAGCAGGGAAGAAAAUGACGGUACCUGACCAAGAAGCCCCGGCUAACUACGUGCCAGCAGCCGCGGUAAUACGUAGGUGGCAAGCGUUAUCCGGAUUUACUGGGUGUAGAGGGAGCGCAGACGGCUGUGCAAGUCUGGAGUGAAAGGCGGGGGCCCAACCCCCGGACUGCUCUGGAAACUGUAAAGCUGGAGUGCAGGAGAG
rnacentral:rRNA from 1 species